GAGGGACAGGGAGAUCUUCCUUCUCGGUGUUUUCUGCCCCUAAACCACGUCUGCUCUCCCUGACAGCCGAGGUGGGCAGCAGGCCUCCCUCGGUUUCCUGGGCUGGGAGAGGCUCCGGUGCUGCCUCGGUAACAGCAGAAGCGUGUUCUAGAGCCCACUCGCCCCAGGUGAUGGAGUUCGCAGAGAAGUGAAAGACAGGGAGGAGCCCGUCCUCCCCACAGCCCCCAGUAUGCGUGGGACAGCUGAGCAGGAGCCAUGGACUUCCUGCCUUGUCCCCUUGGGGGCUUGGUCUGUGCCCUCAGCCUUUAUCCCCCACAGAGGGAAAACCAUCCUGCCCCAGCAGGCCCGCUCAUGAGGUUGUGAGACAGUGAAGCUGCUACCGCAUCCUUGCUAUAGGCCUAGCUGCAUGUGUGCGAACCGCAUUCAUGCAAUGGAUACUCACCACGAGAAUGGGCUAAAGUCAUCCAUUGAGCACUAACGUAUUUGAAGGCCACACACCUGGAGCUGUGAGCUGAGAGGCAUCCGCUCCAGCAGCAGCUGGUUCAUCUUCGAUCCGCGGCCCAGACACAUGGAGCAUUUAGAACAGAGAGGAGAGGAGGUGGUCGUCUCUCUCCAGGAAGAAAAGAGUGAAGGCCUCACUUUUAUUAUGUGCACUGGUAUAUUGACUUGGCAGCUGACGUAUUCCUUUUAUAGCAUUGCUUUGCAUAAAACUGCAUGAUUCCAACUUAUGGUACACAAGAGUUUGAUUAUAUUUAAAAGUCAAACAUGGAAGAUGUCCAUUGUCUACAUAAGGGAGAAAAGAUAAGCGGUGCCAUGAAUCACUACUCUUUGUACACUUGUAUUCCCUGAACUAAUUACUCAUUUGCUUAAAUAAAAGGCUCCACAUUGA